UCGAUCACAGCGCGAUGUUUUCGUCGCGCUGUGAUGACGUCAAAUGCGCGCUUUCGUCGAGCGUGAUUUUGUCCUCCACAAUUUUGUGCUGGAACCGUGUUUUUCAACCUCUGUCACUUUAAGAUGCCUGGACUUCAACUCCCAGAAUUCCAUGCUUAUGUGAACUUCAACUUCCAGAAUUCCAUGCUUUAUGUGGAUUUCACCUCCCAGGAUUCCAGGUCUUAAGAUAUGUGGACUUCAAUUGAUGAAGCAUUUAUCACAGGGUUUUUCCGUCUUUACCGCUUUAAGAUGCGUGGACCUCAACUCCCAGAAUUCCAUGCUUCUGUGAACUUCAACUCUCGGGAUACUGUGCUUAACAUAGAUAAACUUCAACUCCCAGCAUUCCAUGCCUCUAUGAACUUCAACUCCCAUGGUUCUACCUGCUUAAGACAGACUACUCAGCUACUUUUCUCCACGUUUUUAGACGG